CGGAGUGGGCGUGGCUACUGAGGUGUGUUGUGGGCCAGUGAUUAAAACACAGUGGAACGAGUGGAAACUUAAAGCAGUACAUUUAAAGACGAGGCUAGCAUCACUGAAGAAAAGAGUCCAAAUUGAUAAAUGGAGUUCAAAGAGACAAAGACUGCCCAACCCUGACCAAGGAGAUAGAAACAGCAUUUGGAGGACAAGGUCCGAGAGUAAACGGAUCUGGUAACAAAUGGCUUCUGUGCACGUGAAGCAGUGAGACAAUGGCUCUGCAACAACAAGAUAUGAUGGAUUUCUACAGCGUUUGCCUGUCAAGCAUCCAGAAAAAACGGUACUGAAUUACUUCCACAUUGCUAAACUAAGAGAAUCAAGUGCCAGAAGUGGCGAAGCUGUGUAUAAAUGGAUCACGAUUGCCUUUUUCAUCCACUGACCACAAAUGUGUUGCUCUGGUUAUUUUCCUUUCGAUGAACCUCAAAUAUGAAUCAACCAACAUCAAACCAGAUGUUAGAAAGUGUGGAAAGAAGAGCCACAUGGAGAGGACAAGUUGCCUUGAUAAAUGGAUUUGAAUGACAUGCUGGGGUUCAGAUCGAAGUACAGCACAUUUAGAGCAUCUUGCUUAAAGUUUGGUUUGUUCUUUUCACGUAUUUUCAUAGAAUGCCUAGUCAUAGAUUAUAAACAGACUGCUUAUGUGCUGACAUUUCUGGGAGGUACAAUGAAACUCCUCUAACGACCAUUAUUUGUGAUAUCUCCACCUGUGCUGUCAGGAAGGGGAGUGUUGUACUUUCUGUUCUGCAAGUGGUAAGGGGAAAGAUUCUGUGAAUAAAUUGCAUUAUUUUCUGGCCCAGGGUAAUGCUGGCUUAACAAUUGCUCUGAUUUAUCUGGGAGAUAUUUAGCAAUAAAUACAAAUUAAGUUGAAGACCAGAAUAAAUUCGAGAAAUCAUUUCCAGCAGCAGUCAUGAUUAUUUUAAUCAUUUUGACAUUAGAGAGUAGGCCAAUGGUUCAUCUUCUGCAUUUAUUUUUCCCAGCUAUACACAACAGAGGACACUUACAUUCUAGAACUUUCGAUGACUCCUUCUAUUUUCAAAACAGUUCAAAUGUCUGGGGUGCAAAGCCUUUCAUGGUCUUUCCCCAUUUGCUCUGCCUGCUUUUCAUCCCC